UACGUAGGGUGCAAGCGUUGUCCGGAAUUAUUGGGCGUAAAGAGCUCGUAGGCGGUCUGUCGCGUCGGCUGUGAAAACCCGGAGCUCAACUCCGGGCCUGCAGUCGAUACGGGCAGACUAGAGUUCGGUAGGGGAGAACGGAAUUCCUGGUGUAGCGGUGAAAUGCGCAGAUAUCAGGAGGAACACCGGUGGCGAAGGCGGGUCUCUGGGCCGUAACUGACGCUGAGGAGCGAAAGCAUGGGGAGCGAACAGG
rnacentral:rRNA from 1 species